GGGCCUGUGGUCUAGGGGUAUGAUCCUCGAUCCGCAAUUGAGUGGUCCGGGGUUCAAAUCCCCGUAGGUCCA
rnacentral:tRNA from 3 species